rnacentral:rRNA from 1 species
UACGUAGGGUGCAAGCGUUGUCCGGAAUUAUUGGGCGUAAAGAGCUUGUAGGCGGUUUGUCGCGUCUGCUGUGAAAUUUCGGGGCUCAACCCCGAACUUGCAGUGGGUACGGGCAGACUAGAGUGUGGUAGGGGAGACUGGAAUUCCUGGUGUAGCGGUGAAAUGCGCAGAUAUCAGGAGGAACACCGAUGGCGAAGGCAAGUCUCUGGGCCAUAACUGACGCUGAGAAGCGAAAGCAUGGGGAGCGAACAGG